UUUAGGNGGGCCCCCWWAGAAUACUCAAGCUAUGCAUCCAACGCGUUGGGAGCUCUCCCAUAUGGUCGACCUGCAGGCGGCCGCACUAGUGAUUACGGGGAGCAGCAGGCGCGAAACCUUUACACUGCACGCCAGUGCGAUAAGGGGACCCCGAGUGCGAGGGCAUACAGUCCUCGCUUUUCGUGACCGUAAGGUGGUCACAGAAUAAGAGCUGGGCAAGACCGGUGCCAGCCGCCGCGGUAAUACCGGCAGCUCGAGUGAUAGCCACUAUUAUUGGGCCUAAAGCGUCCGUAGCCGGCCGAACAGGUCCGUCGGGAAAUCCACCCGCUCAACGGGUGGACGUCCGGCGGAAACCAGUCGGCUUGGGGCCGGGAGACCAGAGAGGUACGUCCGGGGUAGGAGUGAAAUCCUGUAAUCCUGGACGGACCGCCGGUAGCGAAAGCGUCUCUGGAGAACGGACCCGACGGUGAGGGACGAAAGCUUGGGUCUCGAACCGGAUUAGAUACCCGGGUAGUCCAAGCCGUAAACGAUGCUCGCUAGGUGUGGCGUUGGCUACGAGCCAGCGCUGUGCCGUAGGGAAGCCGAGAAGCGAGCCGCCUGGGAAGUACGUCCGCAAGGAUGAAACUUAAAGGAAUUGGCGGGGGAGCACAAUCCCGCGGCCAUGGCGGCCGGGAGCAUGCGACGUCGGC
rnacentral:rRNA from 1 species